rnacentral:lncRNA from 1 species
GGUUGCGCAAAGGACGACCACAAGAGUUGUUUCGAUCGCCGAGUAAAGCAAGCGGUGGCCAACAAGCACCUACGCUUCAAGAGUUUUUUUUACAAUUGCAAGUAUUACUGCAUGGGUUUGAAGAUUGUGGCCCGAAAUCCUGUGCAUCGGCUGCGGAUUGUGUAUCCCCCUCCGGCCCCCACGCUUGCACGCCGAGGCCUUUUAUAUUCCACUUUCGUUAUACCAUCUGCCAUUCAGCCGUCGCUCGCUCACGUCAACAUUUCGGCCAUACAGUCGACGCGUUCGAUGCGGAUCCUUCAGGGCCGCGCAGCAACACAGGCUCUCUACCCUGGACCAUUUGCAGAAGCUUCAACAGCCGGCCCGCAUCGAAACUCCUUGGCUGCAUGCGGGCUCUUCUCCUACCUUCUACUACCUGCCGCACACAGAGCCACCACCGAACGCCCCCUUGCCGGC